AGUUGCCAACUCCACUGAGCUCCUGUGGUUUCUCAGCCUGGCCUCACCUACUUUCCCUUCCUAACCAGGGAAAGGAAAAGAUUUAAAUGCAGACAGAGUUCUCCUGGCACUCAUCAGAGGAGUUGAAAUCGUGAGGUCACCCUGAGGGGAGCCUGGCAUGGCAAGGAGCAAGCUUCUCCUCGGCAAGCUGCUGCCUUUAAUCCUCAUCUUCCUGGGGUUGCUUGUGCAAAAUGCCUGCUCCCCAACUGAAGCCCCAGAACUGACAAAGAGAUGUGAUAAGAAGUCUACUCUAACCAUCAAGACGGAGUGCCAGUCCUGCUCGGUUAACAUUGCAGUCAAGUGUCCAGACGGCUACAUCAAGAUUACCAAUGGCACUGUCGGGGUUCGAGAUUGCAGGUAUUCGCUUAAAAUCCAGUCCUACGUCCUGGAUAUCCCUGGAUGCCGCCAUAUCUGUAGGAAGGAUUACCUGCAACCUCAAUGUUGUCCAGGACACUGGGGCCCAGACUGCAUGGAGUGUCCAGGAGGAGCAAGGGCACCGUGUGGUGGCAGGGGUGUUUGUGAUGAAGGCAUGGAAGGAACCGGAAGCUGCUCCUGCCGGGCAGGCUUUCGUGGAACAGCCUGUGAGAACUGUGCUGCUGAAGACGUUUUUGGUCCCAAUUGUUCAGCAGUGUGCAGUUGUGUCCAUGGUGUGUGCAACAGCGGGAUCAGUGGUGACGGAACUUGUGAGUGCUUGUCUGCGUACAGGGGGCCCAGGUGUGACAAGCCCAUCCCUGAGUGUGCAGCCUUGCUCUGCCCAGAAAACUCCAGAUGCUCACCUUCCAGCAAAGACGAAACCAAACUCCAGUGCAAAUGCCUUCCCAGUUACAAAGGGGACGGCCAGACCUGCAAGCCCAUCAACCCAUGUUUAAAAAACGUCUGCCACCCUCACGCAAGUUGUUCCUACCUGGGACCAAAUCGGCACAGUUGUGUAUGCCAAAAAGGCUACCAAGGAGAUGGUCAAGUGUGUCUGCCAGUGGACCCCUGCCAAACCAGCUAUGGAAACUGCCCUACAAAGUCUACGGUGUGCAGAUAUGAUGGGCCUGGACAGUCUCACUGCGAGUGUAAAGAACAUUACCGAAAUUUUGUACCUGGAGUGGGGUGCAGUAUGACGGACAUCUGUGAAUCAAAAAACCCAUGUCAUAAGAAUGCGAACUGCAGCACAGUCUCACCAGGCCAAACCCAAUGCACUUGCCAGAAAGGUUAUGUGGGUGAUGGCCUGAACUGCUAUGGAAACAUCAUGCAGAGACUCAGAGAAUUAAAUACUGAACCCAGAGGAAUGUGGCAAGGACAGCUGACUUCCUUCAUCUCAAUCCUGGACAGAACUUAUGCCUGGCCACUGAGCAACCUGGGACCCUUCACCGUGCUGCUGCCCUCAGACAAGGGACUAAAAGGGGUUGAUGUAAAGGAGCUCUUAAUGGACAAAGAGGCUGCUCGGUACUUUGUGAAGCUCCACAUCAUUGCUGGGCAAAUGAGCACGGAGCAGAUGUAUAACUUGGACACCUUCUAUACCUUGACGGGAAAGUCAGGGGAAAUCAUCAACAAGGAUAAGGACAAUCAACUAAAGCUCAAACUUUAUGGAAGCAAAAUAGUGCAAAUUAUCCAGGGGAACAUAGUUGCUUCAAAUGGGCUUGUGCAUAUCCUCGACAGAGCGAUGGACAAGAUAGAGCCCACACUUGAGAGCAACCCCCAGCAAACCAUUAUGACAAUGCUACAACCAAGAUAUGGCAAGUUCAGAUCUUUGCUAGAGAAAACCAAUGUUGGACAAGCCCUGGAGAAGGGUGGUAUUGAUGAGCCAUACACCAUUUUUGUUCCAAGUAAUGAAGCAUUGAGUAAUAUGACGGCUGGUGUCCUCGAUUACCUCCUGUCUCCAGAGGGCUCUCGGAAACUUCUGGAACUCGUCAGAUACCACAUUGUUGCAUUUACCCAGCUGGAAGUGGCUACUCUGGUUUCCACACUUCACAUCCGAAGCAUGGCCAACCAGAUCAUCACAUUUAACAUAAGCAGCAAAGGGCAGAUUCUGGCAAACAACGUGGCCGUGGAUGAAACCGAGGUCGCUGCCAAAAACGGCCGAAUUUACACACUGACCGGAGUUCUCAUUCCUCCCUCCAUCCUCCCGAUCCUUCCCCACCGAUGCAAUGAAACAAAGAGAGAGAUGAAACUGGGCACUUGCGUGAGGUGUUUCAUGAAAAACUGGAGCAAAUGUCCUACUAACUCGGAGCCCACGGCAAUCUUCACAAACAAGUGUUUCUAUGGCAGCAGAGCAUGGAACCUGAAAAUUGGUUGUGCCCGAUAUUGUGAUGUGACUGUGGAGAUACCAAGAUGCUGUAAAGGUUUCUUCGGACCUGACUGCAACCCAUGUCCAGGAGGCUUCAUGAAUCCGUGUUCUGGAAAUGGGCAGUGCAUAGACGGCCUCGGUGGCAAUGGGACCUGCAUCUGUGAGGAUGGCUUCCAAGGUUCCAGGUGUCAGUUCUGCUCCAAACCCAACAGAUAUGGACCUCAGUGUAACAGAACCUGCCAGUGUGUUCAUGGAAUAUGUGAUAACAGACUGGACAGCGAUGGAUCCUGCCUGCCAGGAACAUGCCGAGAGGGCACAGCUGGGAGGUUCUGUGACAAGCAGACGUCAGCCUGUGGGCCCUAUAUGCAAUUCUGUCACAUCCAUGCCACCUGUGAAUACAGCAAUGAGACAGCCAGCUGUGUCUGCAAUGACGGCUAUGAAGGAGAUGGAACUCUCUGUUCUAAGAAGGACCCUUGCCUGGGAUCGACCUCCAGAGGAGGAUGUAGUCCUAACGCAGAAUGCAUCCAAGCUAGCACGGGGACAUACAGUUGUGUGUGCCAGCGGGGCUGGACAGGGAACGGAAGAGACUGUGUGGAGAUCAACAGCUGCCUGCUGCCUAGCUCCGGAGGCUGCCAUGACAACGCCACCUGUUUAUAUGUAGGCCCUGGGCAGAAUGAAUGUGAAUGCAAGAAAGGAUUUCGAGGAAACGGAAUUGAUUGUGAACCUAUCAUUUCAUGCUUGGAACAAAUAGAGAAAUGUCACCCCCUGGCCACCUGUCAAUAUACUUUGUCUGGUGUUUGGAGCUGUGUUUGCCAAGAGGGCUAUGAAGGAAAUGGUGUCCUGUGCUAUGGAAAUGUGCUCAUGGAACUGUCGUUUCUCUCUGAAGCAGCUGUAUUUUACCAGUGGAUCAAUAAUGCUUCUCUGCAGUCCAUGCUGUCUGCCACCUCGAAUCUCACUGUCCUCGUGCCAUCCCUGCAAGCCAUCAAGGACAUGGACCAGAAUGAAAAAAGCUUCUGGUUGUCACGGAACAACAUUCCAGCCCUGAUAAAAUACCACACACUACUAGGCACAUACAGAGUGGCUGAUCUGCAGACUCUGCCAUCCUCUCACAUGCUAGCGACAUCCUUGCAGGGAAGCUUCCUUCGCCUGGACAAGGCAGAUGGGAAUAUCACAAUUGAGGGGGCAUCCUUUGUGGAUGGUGACAAUGCAGCCACAAACGGGGUGGUCCACAUCAUCAACAAGGUGCUAAUCCCCCAAAGAGGUCUAACUGGCUCCUUACCCAGUCUACUCACCCGUCUGGAACAGAUGCCUGACUAUUCCAUCUUCCGGGGCUACAUCAUUCAUUACAAUCUGGCAAGUGCAAUCGAGGCUGCAGAUGCUUAUACUGUAUUUGUGCCAAACAAUGAAGCCAUCGAAAGUUAUAUCAGGGAGAAGAAAGCCACCUCUCUAAAGGAAGACAUUCUUCAAUACCACGUGGUCCUGGGGGAAAAGCUCCUGAGGAAUGACUUGCACAACGGCAUGCACCGAGAGACGAUGCUGGGCUUCUCCUACCUCCUCGCCUUCUUUCUCCACAAUGACCAGCUGUAUGUAAAUGAAGCUCCAAUAAACUACACCAAUGUGGCCACUGACAAGGGAGUGAUCCAUGGUCUGGAGAAAGUUCUGGAAAUCAAGAAGAAUAGGUGUGACAAUAAUGACACCAUUAUUGUGAGAGGGAAGUGUGGAAAGUGUUCCCAGCAAACACUCUGCCCGCUCGAGACAAAACCACUUAGUGAGACGAGGAAAUGCAUCUAUUCCGUUUACUUCAUGGGGAAGAGAUCCAUUUUCAUCGGGUGCCAGCUACAGUGUGUGAGAACCAUCAUUACAAGUGCAUGCUGUGCUGGCUUCUUUGGCCCACAAUGCCAAGCCUGCCCUGGGAAAGGUCAGAAUGUGUGCUCUGGGAAUGGCUUCUGUCUGGACGGCGUGAAUGGCACUGGCACAUGCGAGUGCGAGCAGGGCUUCAAUGGGACGGCCUGUGAGACCUGCACAGAGGGGAAGUAUGGUAUUCACUGUGACCAAGCAUGCUCUUGUGUCCAUGGGAGAUGUAACCAAGGUCCCUCGGGAGAUGGCUCCUGUGACUGCGAUGUCGGCUGGCGAGGAGUGAAGUGUGACAGCGAGAUCACAACAGACAACUGCAAUGGGACCUGCCACACCAGUGCCAACUGCCUUCUCGAUCCAGAUGGCAAAGCCUCGUGCAAAUGUGCGGCAGGAUUCCAAGGGAACGGAACGGUCUGCACAGCCAUCAAUGCCUGUGAGAUCAGCAAUGGAGGGUGCUCUGCCAAGGCUGACUGUAAGAGAACCAUCCCAGGAAGCCGGGUGUGUGUGUGCAAGGCAGGCUAUACCGGCGACGGCAUCGUGUGCCUCGAAAUCAACCCGUGUUUGGAGAACCACGGCGGCUGUGACAGGCAUGCAGAGUGCACGCAGACAGGGCCCAACCAGGCCGUCUGUAACUGCUUGCCCAAGUACACUGGAGAUGGAAAGGUCUGCACACUCAUCAACGUCUGCUUAACUAAUAACGGCGGCUGCAGUCCAUUUGCCUUCUGCAAUCACACAGAACAAGAUCAAAGGACAUGUACCUGCAAGCCAGACUACACGGGUGAUGGAAUCGUCUGCCGUGGCAGCAUCCAUUCGGAACUUCCAAAGAAUCCCUCAACGUCCCAGUAUUUCUUCCAGUUGCAGGAGCAUGCUGUCCAAGAGCUUGCUGGACCUGGCCCCUUCACCGUGUUUGUGCCUUCAUCUGACUCCUUCAACAGUGAGUCCAAGUGACUUCAUAAUUGUAUUCUUUGUAUCUUGCAUCCAAGUAGAAAUGUAUCAAGAGUAUCUUCUAGUGCUCUCUAGGAGGAACCCUCCCAUGGUCUCUCUCAGCAUGUCUCCCAAGAAAAUUCUGUAGGACACUGGUAUCCUUCAAGCAGCACUGUGACAAGCUGGGCUAGCGGCCCCUGAGGCUCCGCCCACCUACAUUUUCAUUGCCUUUCCUGACCAGCCUCUCCCUGUGGCCCCAACACAAACCAAGCCUGGCACUAGCUCCUCAGAGUUGUGGGAAAGAGGAGAGCAAACAAGAUGUUCUAGCAACAGGCUCCUGCCUCUGGCCAACCUCCCUGGCCUCUCUUCCAGCUUAAAGUCUGGGAUAAACAGGGCCUCAUGUCCCAGAUUCUACGGUAUCACGUGGUGGCCUGCCAGCAGCUACUGCUGGAGAACCUAAAGGUGAUCACGAGUGCCACAACCCUCCAAGGAGAGCCAAUUUCCAUCUCUGUCUCUCAGGACACUGUGCUCAUAAACAAGAAGGCGAAGGUUCUGUCCAGUGACAUUAUCAGCACCAACGGAGUCAUCCACGUCAUAGACACAUUGUUGUCUCCCCAAAACUUGCUUAUCACCCCCAAAGGUGCCUCCGGCAGGGUUCUGCUAAACCUUACUACAGUGGCAGCAAACCAUGGAUAUACCAAAUUCAGCAAGUUGAUACAGGACUCAGGCUUGCUGAAAGUCAUCACUGACCCCAUGCAUACCCCAGUCACUCUCUUCUGGCCUACGGACAAAGCCCUCCAAGCCUUGCCUCAGGAGCAGCAGGACUUCCUGUUCAAUGAAGACAACAAAGACAAGCUGAAGGCAUACCUGAAGUUCCACGUGAUCCGAGAUACCAUGGCUUUAGCUUCAGACCUCCCCAGGUCUGCUUCCUGGAAGACCCUGCAGGGUUCCGAGCUGAGUGUGAGGUGUGGAACUGGCAGUGAUGUCGGAGAGCUCUUUCUAAAUGGACAAAUGUGCAGGAUUAUACAGCGGAGACUCUUGUUUGACGGAGGUGUGGCCUAUGGCAUUGACUGCCUGCUAAUGGAUCCUACCGAAGGUGGCCGAUGUGACACUUUUACUACCUUCAAUAUUCCGGGGGAAUGUGGGAGCUGUUUCUCCACUCCCAGAUGCCCACUACAGAGCAAACCAAAGGGUGUGAGGAAGAAGUGUAUCUACAACCCGUUACCUUUCAGGAGGGAUGUGGAAGGCUGUCAGAACCUGUGCACCCUGGUGGUCCAUGUCCCGCGGUGCUGCAGUGGUUACUUCAUGCCAGACUGUCAGGCCUGCCCUGGAGGACCAGACACACCGUGUAACAACCGGGGCAUGUGUUAUGAUCAGUACAAACCCACAGGACAGUGCCAAUGUCAUACUGGUUUCAACGGGACAGCCUGUGAGCUCUGCUUGCCUGGGAGAUUUGGUCCUGACUGUCAACCCUGUGGCUGCUCUGAGCAUGGGCAGUGUGACGAGGGGAUCACAGGCUCCGGGCAGUGCCUCUGUGAAGCAGGGUGGACAGGCCGCUUCUGUGAUGCUCCCACAGUUGUGAUUCCAGUGUGCAUACCUGCUUGUUCCAUGCACGCAACCUGUAUGGAGAACAACACAUGUGUGUGUAACUUGAAUUACGAAGGUGACGGAAUCACAUGCACAGUCGUGGAUUUCUGCAAACAGAACAAUGGGGGCUGUGCGAAGGUCGCCAAGUGCUCCCAGAAGGGCACACAAGUCUCCUGCAGCUGCCAGAAGGGCUACAAGGGGGAUGGCCACAGCUGCACAGAGAUAGACCCCUGUGCAAACGGUGUCAAUGGUGGAUGUCAUGAGCAUGCUACCUGCAGGAUGACGGGCCCAGGCAAGCAGAAGUGUGAAUGUAAAAGUCACUAUGUCGGGGAUGGACGGGACUGUGAGCCCGAACAGCUGCCCCUUGACCGCUGCUUACAGGACAACGGACAAUGCCACCCAGAUGCCAACUGUGUGGACCUUCAUUUCCAGGACACUACUGUUGGCGUAUUCCACCUACGCUCCCCACUGGGCCAGUACAAACUGACAUUUGACAAAGCCAAAGAGGCCUGUGCCAAGGAAGCUGCAUCCAUAGCCACCUACAACCAGCUCUCCUAUGCCCAGAAGGCCAAGUAUCACCUCUGCUCAGCUGGCUGGCUGGAGAGUGGGCGGGUUGCCUACCCCACGAUCUACGCCUCUAAGAAAUGUGCAAACAUUGUGGGGAUUGUAGACUACGGAACCAGGACCAACAAGAGUGAAAUGUGGGACGUCUUCUGUUACAGAAUGAAAGAUGUUAACUGCACCUGCAAGGCAGGCUACGUGGGCGAUGGCUUCUCCUGCAAUGGGAACCUGCUGCAAGUCCUCAUGUCCUUCCCCUCACUCACGAACUUCCUGACAGAGGUGCUGGUUUUUUCCAGGAGCUCAGCCCAAGGCCGGGCGUUUUUGAAACACCUGACUGACCUGUCCAUCAGUGGCACCCUGUUUGUGCCACAGAACAGUGGGCUACCGAAAAAUAAGAGCCUGUCUGGGCGGGACAUUGAGCACCACCUCACUAAUGUCAACGUCUCCUUUUACGAUGACCUUGUCAAUGGUACCGUCCUGAAGACUAGGCUGGGAAGCCAACUGCUCAUCACCUCCAGCCAGGACCAGCUCCACCAAGAGGCCAGGUUCGUGGAUGGAAGAGCCAUUCUGCAGUGGGACAUCAUUGCCUCUAACGGGGUUCUCCAUAUCAUUUCUGAACCUUUGAAAGCUCCUCCCACGGCCGCAACGGCUGCCCACUCUGGCCUAGGAACAGGCAUAUUCUGCGCUGUCGUCCUGGUUACUGGUGCGAUUGCUCUGGCUGCCUACUCCUACUUCCGGCUAAACCAGAGAACAACUGGCUUCCGGCGUUUUGAGUCAGAAGAUGACAUUGAUGCCUUGGCCUUUGGCAAGCAGCAGCCUGAGAGUAUCACAAACCCUUUGUAUGAGACCUCAACGCCGGCAGCCCCCGAGCCCUCCUGUGACCCCUUCACCGACUCUGGAGAACGGGAGCUGGAGAACAGUGACCCUCUUGGGGCACUGAGGUCCUGAUGUGAGAAGCCAGCCAACAGCCACAGCCACGUGAGCCCUGAGCCAUCACGGUUACACGGUGACUCCCCUGCUCCAGCUGUCACUUGGAUCAUUUGUUUUAAAGUAUGAUAACUCAGAAGCCAUACCUCACCCCUCUGGUUAGUCUGGGGUUGUCGUCAUGGGUAAGGGGACAUGUUUCCAGGACACCAGUAUACCUCUGCCUCCUCUGGGCCUUCACUGUGGCUCUCUGCACCUUCCAGAUGGUGCUUGGCCUGUUCUGCCCUAUCUGUGGGUAGCUGUGACCCUGUGGUAUCUCCUAUUAACUGUAAGCACCAAAGGCAAGGCUUCAUCCCAUAUGUUCUGUAUUCCAGUACCCAGAAGUACCUGCCACACGGGUGCGCUCAAUAAAUGUGAGAACAGAAAAAGUCA